rnacentral:rRNA from 1 species
AACGAACGCUGGCGGCAUGCCUAACACAUGCAAGUCGAACGGGAUCCUCGGUUUCGGGCCAGGUGAGAGUGGCGGACGGGUGAGUAACGCGUGGGAACCUGCCCAGUGGUGGGGGAUAACUGCGGGAAACUGCAGCUAAUACCGCAUGAGCCCGCAAGGGGAAAGAUUGAUCGCCAUUGGAGGGGCCCGCGUUCGAUUAGGUAGUUGGUGAGGUAACGGCUCACCAAGCCUACGAUCGAUAGCUGGUCUGAGAGGAUGAUCAGCCACACUGGGACUGAGAUACGGCCCAGACUCCUACGGGAGGCAGCAGGCGGGGAAUAUUGGAC